AAAGUCGGCCUGGCAAUCGCUGCGUGCGCAAGCACGGAGAGGAAAGUCCGGGCUCCGCAGGGCGGGAUGCCAGCUAACGGCUGGGCGCAGCAAGUCGCAAGACCCAAGGCGACGGAAAGUGCAACAGAAAGCAAACCGCCGAUGGCGCCGCGAGGCGCACAGGCAAGGGUGAAACGGUGGGGUAAGAGCCCACCGCGGACGUGGCAACAUGGACGGCACGGCAAACCCCAUCCGGAGCAAGACCAAAUAGGGAAGCCGAGGCGUGGCCCGCGCUGCUUCCGGGUAGGUUGCUUGAGCCUGCCGGUGACGGCAGGACUAGAUGAAUGAUUGCCGAACCCCGCAAGGGGAACAGAACCCGGCUUAUCGGCCGGCUUUCCAU
rnacentral:RNase_P_RNA from 1 species